GGAGGGUGCAAGCGUUAAUCAGAAUUACUGGGCGUAAAGAGCGCGUAGGUGGUUUUUUAAGUCAGGUGUGAAAUCCCUAGGCUCAACCUAGGACUGCAUUGAAACUGGAAAACUAGAGUUUCGUAGAGGGAGGUAGAAUUCUAGGUGUAGCGGUGAAAUGCGUAGAUAUCUGGAGGAAUACCCGUGGCGAAAGCGGCCUCCUAAACGAAAACUGACACUGAGGCGCGAAAGCGUGGGAGCGAAACAGGAUUAGGAUUACCCCUGGUACGUCCAUGCCGUAAACGAUGUCGACUUGGAGGUUGUUUCCAAGAGAAGUGACUUCCGAAGCUAACGCAUUAAGUCGACCGCCUGGGGAGUACGGCCGCAAGGCUA
rnacentral:rRNA from 1 species